CAGGCUGGAGAGGAAGCUGAUGUGUUUCUCCUUGUCCUUCAUUUCCAUUUCUUCACUGAAGGCUCCUCCUCUGCCCCUCCUCCCCAUGUAGUCCUCUUAUCUAUCUUGGUUCUGUGCAAGGUCACUUCCCCACUUCACGCUUCACACACACACACACUCUCUCACAUACUUACAUACACUUUAUAUAUGCCUUUCCAUCACAUACUUCACCAUCACAUUACAAUACACAUACUACAUUGCACAUACAUGUACACAUGCCACCUUGAUACAUAUACAAGGUACACCUCAGACAUUGUAUAUCAUACCACACACAUAUGCCUUAUCUUCCCUCACACAUGUAAACUACAUGUAAACAUGCCUACUACAUGUAAACACAUGAGCCUAACACAUCCUUAUCACUAGAAUGCAUAACACAGAGAAAUGCUAUAAACAUGUUCACUCUCAAAAUCUCAUAUCACUGCAGUUUAAUGUAUAUUCACAGACAUUGUACACACCCACCUCUGCAGUCACACAUAAAUAUACCUAAUUCAAAUUGCUCUGUUGGAAAAUUCUUGGGUCUGCAAGCAUGUGUGCCUCCUGGAUCACCUUGCUUUCUUGUUCAGAGAGACCCAGGUGAAUCUUCAGGAGAUAGUAUGCCCACCAUCACUGAUCUCUGGUCCCAGCUUAGAAGGCACCCCCUCUCUUUUUCCUCUUUUUUUUUUUUAAUUCCUUGUUUCUGUUUUUCCUCUUCUCUAUCCUUCUCUUCUUCUGGUUCUCCUUCUACAAUUGUGUGUGCUAGAUUAACAAAGUCACAAAUGACAAGAUCACUUCAUAACAACAAUUCCAACUACAUUCUAUUGUUAGCUCCUCUCGGUAUCCCACCUAGGCCUGAACCUGGCCUGGCUCAUGAGUCCAUUUCUUGGGUACCCAGCCUUUACUUUUCCUAGCCAAAGACAGUUGUUCUAAGUGUAGUGGGCUGAGUAGAGCUGAGCAGGGAACACAAUGUGCUGCUUUUACAGGUCCCUGUGGUAGCUACCCGGAGUAGCUGGUACCCUGAGGGAUCAGACAUGAGAUACUAGCUUUCCAUAGAGAAAUCCUGAGUAGGUAUGUGGUAACUCCAACCUUAGCCUCUUCUCCUCCCUCUGCUUUCAUCGCAGAGAAGAAAAUCCAAUCCCUUCUUUCAUAUCCUCAAAGAUAACAUUAACUGGGGUAGGAAGUACUUUUCCAGCCUUUCUCUUGGCAAGUAGACAGCAGAAAGUCCCACCCUGAGAUGGUAAGCAUCAUUUCCUAGGGUUCCUUAGUCCUUAACAUGGAACAAAUAUUUUUAAUCUACUUCAUUCAUAUACAAAAUAUUUAUUUUCCAUUAUUAAUCUGUGUGAGUAUAUGUGCAUGCAUGUAUGUAUCUCUCCUCUCUCCCUUCUCCCUCUCCCUUCUCCCCCUCCCCCUUCCCCCUCUCCCCCACAGAUAUGCCCCCACAGCAUCUGGCUUUUUAAAAAUACAGGUUUUGAGGUUCUAACUCAGGUUGGCAAGCAUUUUUACCCCAUGAGCUCCCUUGCUGGCCCAUGGAGACCAGCUCUGCUUCUGCUG
rnacentral:lncRNA from 1 species